rnacentral:lncRNA from 1 species
AGCAGGCCGAGCAACUGAUGGGUCAUGAAGUAAAGGGAGGAACUGAAGUAAUUAACUCCACGAAGACAGAGACCAUGUUCUUGAAAUAAUCAGUAAAAGGGACCGUCUCCCAAACCCAGUGUAGAUACUCAGUAAAGCCUGCAGAGAAUAGCAAAGGAAGGUUUUGAGGGAAAACAAGAAAGUUUUCUGAAAAUACGGCGGUUCCUUUUGAACGUGGAAAGCAGAUGAUCUUUGUUGCAACAAAUGUUAUAUGUUUUAAAACACCAUGUUAAUACAGCAUACUUGGAGGUCAGGGGCUGCUAUUUGGAUGCCGCUACCAUAAAGGGUAGGAUGAAAUCCAAGCCACCCUCACCUUGGAGAAAGGCUGGAGUAAGUACAGUCAAUCUAGAAUCUGGACUCUAAAUGAAAGCAUAACGGGAC